GCGUGAGUUCCUUCUGCCAAGCAGAGCAGCACAGCUGCAAGACACCCUGCUUCUGGCUCUGAGCUUUGCUUGUCUUCAGGGAUGGAGCCCCUCCCAAGGCAAGUUCAACUGGGUUCUUUGGCAGCCGAAGUCUACACGGACCCUGCAGGGAGCGGUGGAGAAAAGUUAGAUGUCUGAAGUGUUUUUCAUUGGACCAAAAUCAAGGUGUUGGCUGGGCUACCUUCCCUUCUGGAGACUCUAAGGAAGAAUCCAUUUCCUUGUCUUUUCCAGAUCCUAGAGGCUACCUGCAUUCCUUGGCUUUUAUCCCCAAUCUUCCAUCUUCGGAGCCAGCAACACACCUUUUUCUUCCUUCCAUGAUAUAGAUAUAUUGAUCAUGAGGAGAGGGCUCACCCCUCACCCGGAGAAGUAGUUGGGGAAGCAAUAUGCGGAAACAAAGCCAUGAAUCUGACAAGAAAUGUACUUAAGGUAAAGGGAAGCCAAAUAUAAGUAAAGUACUAACAAGGCCAAUUACGUUCAGGUGCAUGGAUGAUUAAUCAUAAAAUUCACAACGGAGGACACUCUGUGGGGAAAAGACCAUGUGAGGACACAGUGAGAAGGAGACCAUAUGCAAAGCAGGAAGGAAGAUCUCACUGGAACCAAAAACCAGCCCUGCUGGCACCCUGAUCUUGGACUUCUAGCCUUUCUCAGAACUCCAUCUUUUCUAGGGGUCUCAGCUUCUCAGCUGUUCAUCUACACACAAAGGCCCCAAAACAUCGUGUGCCUCCCACAGAUGGAAGAAGAUGGGAAAUCAAAUACUGUCCAAGGAAGGAAAAAAGAUUAAUAAUGAAUUGGUAUCCCAAGAGUCACACAAAUAUCAAAUCAAGAGGGACUAAUUCCCUGAGCAGGAAGCUAACCUAAGCCACAAUGGGAAUUGUAACCAACAGACUACAAAAUGGAGCAGUGUCCACUGUGAACGUUGCAUGGAAUCCAAAGUGGCCUGUGUGCCCACUUUGAUGACUUGUUGUACUAGCGCCUUUGAUCUCCAUCAUAGAAAAUGCUCUGCUCCAUUUCAAAAGAGAUUGUCAUAUAUGCCAUUUGCCAUUCACUGGCCUUUGGAUCAAACCAACAACAGACCUCACAGAUAGAAUUCCACCAAUGACCAUUCACAAAGAGACUGUCUCUCUUGCUCCUGCUCUGGCCAUGAGAUGUGCCUGUUUCAACUUUACCUUCAGCCUUGAGUAAAAGCUCCCAGAGGCCUCACCAGAAGCUGAGCAGAUGCCAAUGCCAUGCUUGUACAGCCUGCAGAACUGUGAGCAAAUUAAAACUCUUUUCUUUGUAAA
ensembl:lncRNA LINC01497 long intergenic non-protein coding RNA 1497